GCGGGGGUGGCCGAGGAGCGGCGGCGGCGUGAACGCGGCUGCACAGCCCCAGCGAGUCGCGGGAGCGGGAGCGCCGCGCCCGCCGCAGCCGCCGGAGCCGGGCGAGGAGCGAGCGCGGCCGCCCGGAGCCGCCGGGAGCAGGCUCGGGCCGCGGCAGCCCCGCGGGGAGGCAGCGAGGGGCCCCUCGCCGAAAGCGCGAACACCCCCCACACCCCCGCCCCGCCGCCUCCGCCCGCCCCCAGCGAAGAGAAACAAAACACAACCCCGGCACUGCCACGCUCUCCCUCCUUCUCCUCUCGGCAUUUGGUGGUUGUUUUUUUUAUUUUUUUUUUUCUUUUUAAUUUUUUUUUUCUUGGGGAUUCUCCUCUCUCCUGCCAGACUGACUUACACGUUCUUGAUAAUUUCUCUUCCCCUCAUUUUUUUUUAUACUCUUCUCCCUGCUUCCAAACCCUGUGUCUGUGUGUUUCAAUACUAUCACAACCUCUGCUAAAAAUAGAUCUUUUUAUACCCUUCCUCCUCUCUGACCCCAUCCAACACCCCUUGUUAAGGUAACUAUCUUACAGACAGAGCAAGAAAAGUAAAUUCACUUGGCUGUUCCAUAUCUCUGAGGAACCUGAUGCAUGAGUGGACUAGAGAAGAGAAAGACAGAAAAACUCCAAAGACCUACAGAUCAUCUGGCUGGCAGGGUGAGUAAAUGUCCUGUCAUCUCAGUCAUGUGUUGUCAGGCACACAAUGAGCGAGCCUGCUUUAAUCAUUGCUUCAGAAAUUACUUACUGAGUAAUUGUGGAGAAAAAAUAAGAUUAAAAUAUGUUGUGUUUUCAGGAC
rnacentral:lncRNA from 1 species